AGAGUUUGAUCCUGGCUCAGGACGAACGCUGGCGGCGUGCCUAAUACAUGCAAGUCGAGCGGAUUCAUUCCUUCGGGAAUGGGUUAGCGGCGGACGGGUGAGUAACACGUGGGCAACCUGCCUGUAAGACUGGGAUAACUAUCGGAAACGAUAGCUAAGACCGGAUAAUUGGUAUCCUCGCAUGGGGAGAUCAUGAAAAG
rnacentral:rRNA from 1 species